CCUACGGUGGGCUGCAGUGGGGAAUAUUGGGCAAUGGGCGCAACCCUGACCCAGCAACGCCGCGUGAAGGAAGAAGGCUUUCGGGUUGUAAACUUCUUUUGUCAGGGACGAAGCAAGCGACAGUUCCUGACGACUCAGCCACGGCUAACUACGUGCCAGCCGCCGCGGUACUACGUAGGUGGCCAGCGUUAUCCGGAUUUACUGGGUGUAAAGGGAGUGUAGGCGGGGAAGCAAGUCAGAUGUGAAAACCGAGGGCUCCACCUGUGUACUGUAUUUGAAACUGUUUUUCUUGAGUGCUGGAGAGGCAAGCGGAAUUCCGGGUGUAGCGGUGAAAUGCGUAGAGAUAAGGAGGAACACCAGUGGCGAAGGCGGAUUGCUGGACAGUAACUGACGCUGAGGCGCGAAAGCGUGGGGAGCAAACAGGAUUAGAUACCCUUGUAGUC
rnacentral:rRNA from 1 species